rnacentral:tRNA from 1 species
GAGUAUGUAGGCCCUAACUGAGAACUGCUAAUUCCUCAUUUCCAUGGUUGGACUCCACGGCUUACUCA